UACGUAGGGACCGAGCGUUGUCCGGAAUCAUUGGGCGUAAAGAGUGUGUAGGCGGCCACUUAAGUCCUGCGUGAAAUCUUGCGGCUCAACCGCAAGCGGUCGUGGGAAACUGGGUGGCUAGAGUGCGGGAGAGGAGAGCGGAAUUCCUGGUGUAGCGGUGGAAUGCGCAGAUAUCAGGAAGAACACCCGUGGCGAAGGCGGCUCUCUGGAACGCAACUGACGCUGAGACGCGAAAGCGUGGGGAGCAAACAGG
rnacentral:rRNA from 1 species